rnacentral:rRNA from 1 species
AGAGUUUGAUCCUGGCUCAGGACGAACGCUGGCGGCGUGCCUAAUACAUGCAAGUCGAGCGAAGUUUUUCUGGUGCUUGCACUAGAAAAACUUAGCGGCGAACGGGUGAGUAACACGUAAAGAACCUGCCUCAUAGACGGGGACAACUAUUGGAAACGAUAGCUAAUACCGGAUAACAGCAUAAAUCGCAUGAUAUAUGUUUAAAAGUUGGUUUCGGCUAACACUAUGAGAUGGCUUUGCGGUGCAUUAGCUAGUUGGUGGGGUAAAGGCCUACCAAGGCGACGAUGCAUAGCCGACCUGAGAGGGGGAUCGGCCACACUGGGACUGAGACACGGCCCAGACUCCUACGGGAGGCAGCAGUAGGGAAUCUUCCGCAAUGGGCGAAAGCCUGACGGAGCAACGCCGCGUGAGUGAAGAAGGAUUUCGGUUCGUAAAGCUCUGUUGUUAGGGAAGAAUGAUUGUAUAGUAACUAUAUACAGUAGAGACGGUACCUAACCAGAAAGCCACGGCUAACUACGUGCCAGCAGCCGCGGUAAUACGUAGGUGGCAAGCGUUGUCCGGAUUUAUUGGGCGUAAAGCGAGCGCAGGCGGUUUCUUAAGUCUGAUGUGAAAGCCCCCGGCUCAACCGGGGAGGGUCAUUGGAAACUGGGAGACUUGAGUGCAGAAGAGGAGAGUGGAAUUCCAUGUGUAGCGGUGAAAUGCGUAGAUAUAUGGAGGAACACCAGUGGCGAAGGCGACGAUCUGGCGCAUAACUGACGCUCAGUCCCGAAAGCGUGGGGAGCAAAUAGGAUUAGAUACCCUAGUAGUCCACGCCGUAAACGAUGAGUACUAAGUGUUGGGAGUCAAAUCUCAGUGCUGCAGUUAACGCAAUAAGUACUCCGCCUGAGUAGUACGUUCGCAAGAAUGAAACUCAAAGGAAUUGACGGGGGCCCGCACAAGCGGUGGAGCAUGUGGUUUAA